rnacentral:rRNA from 1 species
GGACAGCCUUCUGAAAGGAAGAUUAAUACAAGAUGGCAUCAUGAGUCCACAUGUUCACAUGAUUAAAGGUAUUCCGGUAGACGAUGGGGAUGCGUUCCAUUAGAUAGUAGGCGGGGUAACGGCCCACCUAGUCUUCGAUGGAUAGGGGUUCUGAGAGGAAGGUCCCCCACAUUGGAACUGAGACACGGUCCAAACUCCUACGGGAGGCAGCAGUGAGGAAUAUUGGUCAAUGGGCGAGAGCCUGAACCAGCCAAGUAGCGUGAAGGAUGACUGCCCUAUGGGUUGUAAACUUCUUUUAUAAAGGAAUAAAGUCGGGUAUGCAUACCCGUUUGCAUGUACUUUAUGAAUAAGGAUCGGCUAACUCCGUGCCAGCAGCCGCGGUAAUACGGAGGAUCCGAGCGUUAUCCGGAUUUAUUGGGCUUAAAGGGAGCGUAGAUGGAUGUUUAAGUCAGUUGUGAAAGUUUGCGGCUCAACCGUAAAAUUGCAGUUGAUACUGGAUAUCUUGAGUGCAGUUGAGGCAGGCGGAAUUCGUGGUGUAGCGGUGAAAUGCUUAGAUAUCACGAAGAACUCCGAUUGCGAAGGCAGCCUGCUAAGCUGCAACUGACAUUGAGGCUCGAAAGUGUGGGUAUCAAACAGGAUUAGAUACCCUGGUAGUCCACACGGUAAACGAUGAAUACUCGCUGUUUGCGAUAUACUGCAAGCGGCCAAG